rnacentral:rRNA from 1 species
GACGAACGCGUGGCGGCGCGCCUAACGACAUGCAAGUCGAACGAGGCGAGAGAGAGUUUGCUUUCUCGAGCGAGUGGCGAACGGGUGAGUAACGCGUGAGGAACCUGCCUCAUACAGGGGGAUAACAGUCAGAAAUGGCUGCUAAUACCGCAUAAGCGCACAGCACCGCAUGGUACAGUGUGAAAAACUCCGGUGGUAUGAGAUGGACCCGCGUCUGAUUAGCUGGUUGGUGGGGUAACGGCCCACCAAGGCGACGAUCAGUAGCCGGCCUGAGAGGGUGAACGGCCACAUUGGGACUGAGACACGGCCCAA